UGUUAAAAUUUUAUUUAUUUCUACUGUUAAAAACUGACGUGGUUGACGAAAUAACUAAACAGUCGCACAUGGCAUGCUACAUGUACCCCAUGUCAACAUACAAUGACCAGUUUUUAACCGUAAAAAUAGAUGGAAUUUUUAAUA
rfam:Gossypium raimondii Chr09_contig_204, whole genome shotgun sequence.